AACCAACAGGGAUUACCUCAGUAACGGCGAGUGAAGCGGUAAAAGCUCAAAUUUGAAAUCUGGCUCUUUUAGAGUCCGAAUUGUAAUUUGUAGAAGAUGCUUCGGGUGUGGUUCCGGUCUAAGUUCCUUGGAACAGGACGUCAUAGAGGGUGAGAAUCCCGUAUGUGACUGGAUACCUAUGCUCAUGUGAAGCUCUUUCGACGAGUCGAGUUGUUUGGGAAUGCAGCUCAAAAUGGGAGGUAUAUUUCUUCUAAAGCUAAAUAUUGGCCAGAGACCGAUAGCGCACAAGUAGAGUGAUCGAAAGAUGAAAAGCACUUUGGAAAGAGAGUUAAACAGUACGUGAAAUUGUUGAAAGGGAAGCGCUUGCAAUCAGACUUGCACUUGGUGUUCAUCAGGGUCUCGUACCCUGUGUACUUCAUCAAGUUCAGGCCAGCAUCAGUUUGAGUGGUUAGAUAAAGGCUUAGAGAAUGUGGCCCUCUUCGGGGGGUGUUAUAGCUCUAGGUGCAAUGUAGCCUACUUGGACUGAGGACCGCGCUUCGGCUAGGAUGCUGGCGUAAUGGUUGUAAGCGACCCGUCUUGAAACACCGGCCA
rnacentral:rRNA from 1 species